rnacentral:rRNA from 1 species
AUGGGCGCAGCCUGAUCUAGCCUGCCGCGUGAGUGAAGAAGGCCUUAGGGUCGUAAAGCUCUUUCGCCUGGGAAGAUAAUGACUGUACCAGGUAAAGAAACCCCGGCUAACUCCGUGCCAGCAGCCGCNGUAAUACGGCAGGGGGUUAGCGUUGUUCGGAAUUACUGGGCGUAAAGCGCACGUAGGCGGACGUUCAAGUANGGGGUGAAAUCCCAGGGCUCAACCCUGGAACUGCCUUUGAUACUGGGUGUCUUNACUUCGAUAGAGGUGAGUGGAAUUCCGAGUGUNAAGGUGAAAUNCANUUAUAUUCGGAGGAACACCAAUGGCGAAUGCGGCUCACUGGCUCGAUACUGACGCUGAGGUGCUAAAGUGUGGGGAGCAAACAGGAUUAAAUACCCUGGNAGNCCACACCGUAAACNANGAAUGCCAGUCGUCCCGNAGANUACNGUUAGGUGNCACACCUAACGGAUUAAGCAUUCCGCCUGGGGAGUACGGNCGCAAGAUUAAAACU